GAUGAACGCUAGCGGCAGGCCUAAUACAUGCAAGUCGGACGGGAUUCAGGAGCUUGCUUCUGAUGAGAGUGGCGCACGGGUGCGUAACACGUAUGUAACCUACCUUUAUCAGGGGGAUAGCCUCUCGAAAGAGAGAUUAAGCCCGCAUAAAAUCACAGCACAGCAUUGUGUAAUGAUCAAAUAUUUAUAGGAUAAAGAUGGGCAUGCGGAACAUUAGCUAGAUGGCGGGGUAACGGCCCACCAUGGCGACGAUGUUUAGGGGAUCUGAGAGGAUGGCCCCCCACACUGGUACUGAGACACGGACCAGACUCCUACGGGAGGCAGCAGUAAGGAAUAUGGGUCAAUGGGCGGAAGCCUGAACCAGCCAUGCCGCGUGCAGGAAGACGGCCCUACGGGUUGUAAACUGCUUUUAUACGGGAAUAAACCCAGAUACGUGUAUCUGGCUGAAUGUACUGUAAGAAUAAGGAUCGGCUAACUCCGUG
rnacentral:rRNA from 1 species